rnacentral:rRNA from 1 species
GCCUACGGGGGGCAGCAGUGGGGAAUAUUGCACAAUGGGGGAAACCCUGAUGCAGCGACGCCGCGUGAGUGAAGAAGUAUUUCGGUAUGUAAAGCUCUAUCAGCAGGGAAGAAAAUGACGGUACCUGACUAAGAAGCCCCGGCUAACUACGUGCCAGCAGCCGCGGUAAUACGUAGGGGGCAAGCGUUAUCCGGAUUUACUGGGUGUAAAGGGAGCGUAGACGGCUGUGCAAGUCUGAAGUGAAAGCCCGUGGCUCAACCGCGGAACUGCUUUGGAAACUGUAUAGCUUGAGUACUGGAGAGGCA